rnacentral:misc_RNA from 1 species
UCCGGUUUGUCACCGGCAGUCUCCCUAGAGUUCCCGGCCGAACCGCUGGCAACUAGGGACAAGGGUUGCGCUCGUUGCGGGACUUAACCCAACAUCUCACGACACGAACUGACGACAGCCAUGCAGCACCUGUGAUGGUGUCCCGAAGGCACUCCCGCAUCUCUGCGGGAUUCCGAGGAUGUCAAAGGCAGGUAAGGUUCUUCGCGUUGCAUCGAAUUAAUCCGCAUGCUCCGCCGCUUGUGCGGGCCCCCGUCAAUUCCUUUGAGUUUUAGCCUUGCGGCCGUAGUCCCCAGGCGGAGUACUUAAUGCGUUAGCGACGGCACCGAGGGGGUCGAUACCCCCGACACCUAGUACUCAUCGUUUACGGCGUGGACUAC